AAUGUGACAAUACAAAAAAAAAGAAAAAAGUUUGCGUUGAUUUAUCUACUCUCAUUGAUAAUGAAUGAUGAGUAGAAGAGGAAGAGAAAUGGCUAGUAAAGGGGUCUUAUUUUCUCCAUGUCCACACUCUCUUGUUUCUAAUUCAACCUUUGAUUGUUUGAUUAAAUAUGUAUAAUCUAAAUUAACAAUAACCAAAUAUAUAUAUAUAUAUAUACUCAACUAAAAUUUGGGUUUAACGAUCAUUGUCCAUUUUAUAAGAAAAUUCCUCUUGGAUCUUUCUUUUUAUAUUUUUCUUGACUGACUUUUUAAUCGAAUCCAAGUCUUGCUUCUCUUUGUUUUGGUGUCCACGAUCUCAAAAAAGAAACAGCCAACUGAUUGGUCACUUUCACAAUCCCUCUGGUACGUUAUCCUCUGAUUUUUCAAAGAUAAGCCACUACAUGAUCAUGAUGUAUGUGACCUACGAGCUUGGACUCGAACCCACGAGCCAAUCAUAAGAAGAUGCGUGAGCUUCAACACGAUAAAGAUUGAUGCAAAGUCAUAUAAGCAAACAGCCAAAUCAAUAGCUUGGUGGGUUUGGUCUUCCAAAAGUAAAUUAUGGAAGAACAUGAAUGUCUCUGAUGUACAUUGUCCUGGAAAGAGAACUCUGAGACCUGAUUACGCAAAAGACUAAUUGGUGAUCACAAAAAAAAAGGAGAAAAGAACGCUAUUUGAAACUGCAGGCAUUGAUACAGAAACUAUCAUACAUUAAACACUUGACAAAAGUACAUGUUGAUAUGUCUGUCAGAUUACUACAAGAGUUUCUUUCACCAAUCUGCUUUGCUACCAAUGUACCCUAAAUAAGAUAAGUAAACACAAAAAAAAAAAGCAUUACUCUAACUUGAAACCUAGUGAGUAAGAAUAAUAACAGUUUCUCCAAUC